rnacentral:lncRNA from 1 species
GGCCCGGCACGUCGCCACUUGGCGCGCUCGCAGCCGCCCCCUCCCCGCGGCCCCCGGCCCGGCCCCUCCGCGCGUCACCCUCGUUCCCUCCCUCUCUCCGCGCCCCCGCCGCGCCCCUCCCCGCCCCUCCCGGGGGUCCCCGCCCCGCCCCCUCUCUGCCGGGGGUCGCCCUGCCCGGAGCAGUCGCGCGGAGACUGCGCGGCCUCCGCCUCUACGCGCUCGCGGUCGCCGCUCCUCUCCCGCCUUUGUUCUCGGGUCGCCCCUCUCGCUGGUGGCGCUCCGAGAGAGCAGCGGAGCCACCUGCCCAGGCCACGCUUCCCCGAGCAUCCGCAGCUGCACCCGGGGGCUGUCGGCGCCCGCCCCGGAGCGUGCGGGAGGCACAGCGGGAAGAAGUCGCUGAGAUUCGGCCCUCGUGGCUUUGCGUGCCCGCGUGGUUGAUGCCUCCGCCGAGAACGCGGUCGGCCGGGAGCCGGGGAGGAGCGUGGACGCCGGCCUGGCAGUCGGAUUUAAAGUACAAUCCGGUUUCCUUUCCAUUCAUUAUAGUUGCCUACACUCAACAAACAAAAGUUGGGAAAGAUAAAGGGAUUAUUCUAGCGCGUCACAUUGACAAACACCGACGUUAACACGCUCAGUCCAGCCUGACUCACUUGCCUCAGGUCAGAGAGGUCACCACUGACGACGCCGGGCCCUCAAGCCGAUCCUAAUCCAGCUUGGUUCUCUCAGCCUCAGCCAGACCAUCCGUUCUUGCCUCUGUCCCACCACGUGCAGGUGUAAGCUUCCGCCGCACUUCUUGUCUGAAUCUGCCAAGAAGAAACUGCAUCUUUCAGCUAAAUUCUUUUCACUGAUCAGGGUAGAGUUUAGCGGUUUUUUUUUUAAGAAAAAAAACAAAAACAAAAAAAAACUCUUAAGCUAUUUGGUACUCCUCUCCCUCCGGGAUUCUGUCUCUAGAUUGUGAAAGCUGUCAGAGAAUGGAGUCAGGGAAAGCCGUGAUGGGAAAGUUCUCACUAAUAAUUGCCUGAUAUAAAGAAUUAGCACAAAAGACUGCCAAAACCACAACCUUGCACAAAGGCCACAAAACUACACAAAAAAAUGCUUCAAGGACAUUUGCGCAGCAACUGCCUGUCCAACCUUGGACUGGCCAUCCCCUUUGUUACUGAUCUUUGUAGCCAAGGAUAAUUGUUUCAAAACAACUUACGUAAUCCUCCUCGUUUUUCCUUUUAAACCCCUUAUCUUCCUUUACCUCCCUGAAUACACCUAUAGUUUACUAUGACACCAUAUUCUACAUUGCAAUGCCCACUUUCAAAUAAAUUUGUCAUGUUUGGCAAACCUGUCUGUUAUUUAGGUUGACAAGAUCAAAUGCAAAUUUAUUCUGGAGUCAACAAAUAACUGAUUCAGUCUUCCAAUGUGCAAGGCAAAGAAGAAUAUUAAGGAGACACUGUAUAGAUUAGAUCCCUGCCUAUAGGCAGCUUCAACACUAAUACAAUAUGGUACGAAUAUAUAAUUGUACUUUAAGGCAGCUUAGGUGGGAAAACAACUAGCAACUAAAAAAAAAAAUGGAGUUUACUACCAACUAAAAAAAAUGGAGGUUUCAAGGUUGACCUAGAAUUUGAAAACUGCUUUAAAGACAGGUAAGAAAGACACAGGUAGAUGUGCAAUGGAAGUAGAAAUUGGGUUUCAAGCCCCAAACAGGCUGAGGGGUGGGAAAAUAGACAUAUUCAGGUACAUCAAUCGUUCCAGUUUGGCAUAAGAAUGAGAUAAAUGAAGAUGGAUUCUAGGAGUUAAGGAUGAAAUAUGUAGGGAGGUACUAUGAUGUAAUGGAGAGAACAAAGAUUUCAAGUUAAGACUUUGGUUUAAAUCCCAGCUGUGCCUCUUAUUAGCUGUGUGAUCAAAGGUAAAUUAGUUAAUCUCUCUGACCCUCCAUUUCCUCAUUUGUAUGAUAACAAUAAUGUCCAAUUAUUCCACAAAUAUUUUAUGGCAAGCCAAGUAUUAACUAAGAACUAUGUUAAAUGAUGAAGAUAUAAAAAAACCAUUUAUUCAUUCAUUCAUCAAAUGAAUGCCUUACUGUUUACUAAGUUACACCCUGAGUUAGGCCCUGGAAAUACUGAUAAGGGGGAAAAAAGCAUGAAACCGUAUGAGACCACUUAGAUUAUGCAGAUAUACGUGAAAAUAAGGCCCAAGACCAAGAAGUCCAAAGGUACUCAACUUGUGGAAGUAAGAUAGAGAAGGAAAAAAAAGAAAACUAAGUGUAAAGUACUGUAAACUGAAAGGAGAGAGUGUUUUAAAAGAGGGACUGGUCAGCUCUCCUAAUGGAGAAGUUAGUAAGGUGGCAGAGAAGAAUACAUUGUAUUUAUCAACCUGGAGGUAAUUAACUGUCUUGACUGUUUCAAGCUAUUUCAGCAAAGUGGUGGUUUCAGAAACUAAAUUAAAGCAGAUUAAGGGAGGAAUGGAAGCCUAGGAAUUGGAGCCAGAGUAUAGACAACUCUUCUGUGUAGUUUUAUUAUAAAAAGUAAUGGAGAAAGAGAGUAUCUGGAGAGGUGGUAGGGAUGUUUUUAAGAUGGAAGACAUUAGCACAUGUUGGUAUACUGAAAAGAAUGACUGAGUAGGAAGGCAGAAAACCAUGAUUGAGCAGAGAGAGGAAAUGCUACUGGAAGGCAGCUUGUGAGAAGGCAAGGAAAAAUGGGCUCCAGAGCACAGGUAUUAGACAGGAAGCAGAAUCCACCCAAUUUAACAGGAAAGACAGAAGGUGGUCGCAGCUGCAAGCAGGUGAGUGGAAAACUUGAAGGUUUGUUUUUUUGUUUUUUUGUUUUUUUUUGAGACAGAGACUCACUCUGUUGCCCAGGUUGGAGUGCAGUGGCCUGAUCUCGGCUCACUGCAAGCUCCACCUCCUGGGUUCACGCCAUUCUCCUGCCUCAGCCUCCCAAGUAGCUGGGACUACAGGUGCCCGCUACCACACCUGGCUAAUUUUUUGUAUUUUUAGUAGAGACGGAGUUUCACCAUGUUAGCCAGGAUGGUCUCGAUCUCCUGACCUCAUGAUCUGCCUGCCUCGGCCUCCCAAAGUGCUGGGAUUACAGGCGUGAGCCACUGCACCCAGCCAACUUGAAGGAUUUUUAUUUCUGAUAUAUUUUCUUUCCUUCAUGAAAUAUAAAGGGAAAAUCAGCUGACAGUUGUGUAGGGGAGAGAGAUACAGAAGAUCUGAGGAAGAAGGAGGUGUGUCAGCAGGAAAGCAAAGUUUCCAGGAUGCCAAGUGUUUUGCCUUCUUGAGAGUUAUGGUCAUGAAUUUAAAGUGAAACUACUCGGUCUGGCUUUGUCAGGUUCUCAGUCAAGUUUACCUACUUGGAUUCAGGCUUGGACAAAGUGGAUAAUGGGGUUCAUUCAGGAAGGGGUUUUCCAGGUGAGGAAGAGGGACAAAGAAAUUGAAGUCUGUUUGUAAAGGAGUGAUUAUAAUGAUGAGCCAUGAUAUCUAAGCUGGACAAGGUAGGAAAUUUGAGGGCUAUAAAUGGUGAAAAAAGCCAAUGAACUGGAGAUUUCAAUAAGAUUAGAGAAUGGCUGUCUUCGGGGUACUAGAGGUGGUGAGCUGGAAGGACAGGAAAUGAUUGCAUGAGAAUAACUUGCUUGAAAUAAAGAUUUCAGAAGUCAUACUAAUAUUGGCGACAGCAAAGUCUAGAGGGGUAAAAGGCAACUGAAUGUGAGUUGGUUAAGGAAUUAGAAAGCAUACAGCCAGUCCUAGCUUGGCAUGGUAGAACAUGACUAGAAAAAUGACCAUGGAAGUUGAAAUUGUGCAAAGUGAUCUUAAUAAUCAAAGAGA